AAAAACAUAAACACGGUCCGAAAUCCAUCCAUAUUCUUAGCUUAAAAACUUAAACCACGAAACCCUCGGUCACUAAAAUUUCCGCUACCGAAAUCAAACCUCAAUCGACAUUCUGCAUAAUGUCCUCCGCCGUGAACUUGGUGCCCUUGUCCUUAUCGGCGGCGGCUCUUCCCUUGGCCUUGCGGUCGAGCAGCGCCUUGCGAUCCUUGUCGAGCCUGAGCUUGGUGAUGAGGACCUUGGAGGGGUUGAUGCCGACGUUGACCGUGGAGCCGUUGACCUUCUCGCG
rnacentral:lncRNA from 1 species